rnacentral:snRNA from 1 species
AUCGCUUCUUGGCCUUUUGGCUAAGAUCAAGUGUA